GGCGCUGUGGCACAGCAGGUUAAAGCCCUGGCCUGAAGCGCCAGCAUCCCGGGAUAUAUGGGCACGGGUUCAAGUCCCAGCUGCUCCA
rnacentral:tRNA from 1 species